GAUGAACGCUGGCGGCGUGCCUAAUACAUGCAAGUCGAGCGAACGGACGAGAAGCUUGCUUCUCUGAUGUUAGCGGCGGACGGGUGAGUAACACGUGGAUAACCUACCUAUAAGACUGGGAUAACUUCGGGAAACCGGAGCUAAUACCGGAUAAUAUUUUGAACCGCAUGGUUCAAAAGUGAAAGACGGUCUUGCUGUCACUUAUAGAUGGAUCCGCGCUGCAUUAGCUAGUUGGUAGGGUAACGGCUUACCAAGGCAACGAUGCAUAGCCGACCUGAGAGGGUGAUCGGCCACACUGGAACUGAGACACGGUCCAGACUCCUACGGGAGGCAGCAGUAGGGAAUCUUCCGCAAUGGGCGAAAGCCUGACGGAGUAACGCCGCGUGAGUGAUGAAGGUCUUCGGAUCGUAAAACUCUGUUAUUAGGGAAGAACAUAUGUGUAAGUAACUGUGCACAUCUUGACGGUACCUAAUCAGAAAGCCACGGCUAACUACGUG
rnacentral:rRNA from 1 species